rnacentral:misc_RNA from 1 species
AUUUGUCAUCAAUAAACGAAAUCUCAAUCCGAGUGGACGAGGUUAACCAUAGACUGAGUUGCCUGAGUUUCGUUGACUCGGUUGAGUUGGUAUGCGUGUUGAAAAGAUUGGAGGAUUGCAAAGAGAGGCUAUUAGCUUUAUCAAGUCGAAAGAAAGCAUUGGUUGAGAGCCUUUGGAGUUUGAUCAGUGAAAUGAAGGGAAAGGUUGGGGAUGGAAAAGCGUAUAAAGAGGAGGGGAGGUUGCUGCUUACCAUGGGAAGGAAAGAUGCUGGAAGUGAGUCAGCUCGGUUUGG